UACAGAGGUCUCAAGCGUUGUUCGGAUUCAUUGGGCGUAAAGGGUGCGUAGGUGGCGGGGUAAGUUGGAUGUGAAAUCUCGGAGCUUAACUCCGAAACUGCAUUCAAUACUGCCUUGCUCGAGUACUGGAGAGGAGAUUGGAAUUUACGGUGUAGCAGUGAAAUGCGUAGAUAUCGUAAGGAAGACCGGUGGCGAAGGCGGAUCUCUGGACAGUUACUGACACUGAGGCACGAAGGCCAGGGGAGCAAACGGG
rnacentral:rRNA from 1 species